ACUGAGGAUUCAGACGUUUCAGCCAAUCAGAGAGCAGCACUGCUCAAAUAGAACUCCCAGGAGGUAACAGCGUGUCACACAUGUGAUGUCAUAACCAUUGUCCACCAGAGAGCAGCACUGAGCAGAAAUAACACUGCUCCUGCUCAUUCUUCAUCAGUGAGGGGCCGAUGCUGGACACUGUAGGAACGCGGGAAUGUGAAGUUGAAUACAUCACUGUGAUUGAUGCACUAUUUCCAGGAUGUGGAGUAGCAUUUCCGGACUAUCAAGACGUUGUAAUAAGGCACAUAUUUCCGGACUUACAGCAAGAAGUUGGAUGAAGGCAUAAACCCUCGAAUCACGCACAUACACAGACACAUUUGCCCAAAUUAUAGAGGUAACCUCCUUUAGUAUGCCCAGAGGAAGGGCAAUACAGUAGCCAUGGAUUCCCUACAGGUUUCCUCCCCUCUGGAGGUUUUUCCUGUCCUGAGUUAGUUACUGUACGCUCUUUGUGAGUGAUGGAAGGUUACAAAAAUCCCUACACAAACAUUUUAAUAAAUAAUAAAGUUCCCCUGUUUUUAA